GUAAAGCUGCAACGUUGGUGACUGCCAAUACUGUUUUAUGAUCUAUGCUUUAUCUAUAAGGGAACCAAAAAUAGAUCCAGUGGCAGUAGACCGAGCUUGUACUCGGAAACUUUAAACAGGACAUAAUGUUCCCACCUGACGUUCGUCAGGUCAAAAACUGAGGUAAAACGGCGUUGCGGUGAGCCA
rnacentral:other from 3 species